rnacentral:rRNA from 1 species
UACAGAGGGUGCGAGCGUUAAUCGGAAUUACUGGGCGUAAAGGGUGCGUAGGUGGUUAAUUAAGUCAGAUGUGAAAUCCCUGGGCUUAACCUAGGAAUGGCAUAUGAAACUAAUUGACUAGAGUGUGGGAGAGGGAAGUGGAAUUUCCGGUGUAGCGGUGAAAUGCGUAGAUAUCGGGAGGAACACCAGUGGCGAAGGCGACUUCCUGGCCUGUUCUUGACGCUGAGGCGCGAAAGCUAGGGGAGCAAACGGG